rnacentral:rRNA from 1 species
GGCUCAACCUCUUCGAGCCGUUGAAACUGGUUUUCUUGAGUGAGCGAGAAGUAUGCGGAAUGCGUGGUGUAGCGGUGAAAUGCAUAGAUAUCACGCAGAACUCCGAUUGCGAAGGCAGCAUACCGGCGCUCAACUGACGCUCAUGCACGAAAGUGUGGGUAUCGAACAGGAUUAGAUACCCUGGUAGUCCACACAGUAAACGAUGAAUACUAAUUGUUCGGGGAGAAUGAUCCCUGAGUGAUACAGCGAAAGCGUUAAGUAUUCCACCUGGGGAGUACGCCGGCAACGGUGAAACUCAAAGGAAUUGACGGGGGCCCGCACAAGCGGAGGAACAUGUGGUUUAAUUCGAUGAUACGCGAGGAACCUUACCCGGGCUCAAACGACACAGGAAUACUUUUGAAAGGAGGUAGCUCUACGGAGUCUGUGUCGAGGUGCUGCAUGGUUGUCGUCAGCUCGUGCCGUGAGGUGUCGGCUUAAGUGCCAUAACGAGCGCAACCCCCAUCGCCAGUUACCAGCAAGUCAAGUUGGGGACUCUGGCGAGACUGCCGGCGCAAGCUGUGAGGAAGGCGGGGAUGACGUCAAAUCAGCACGGCCCUUACGUCCGGGGCGACACACGUGUUACAAUGGCAGGUACAGAGAGAAGCAAUGCGGCGACGCAAAGCGGAACUUGAAAGCCUGUCUCAGUUCGGAUUGGAGUCUGCAACUCGACUCCAUGAAGCUGGAUUCGCUAGUAAUCGCGCAUCAGCCAUGGCGCGGUGAAUACGUUCCCGGGCCUUGUACACACCGCCCGUCAAGCCAUGGAAGCCGGGAGUGCCUGAAGUGAGCAACCGCAAGGAGCGCCCUAAGGUAAAACUGGUGACUGGGGCUAAGUCGUAACAAGGUAACCGUAA